ACCAUGGAGGGGUGCUUCUUACUGGCUUGCUC
rnacentral:piRNA from 1 species